AGUGAACGCUGGCGGUAGGCCUAACACAUGCAAGUCGAACGGCAGCACAGUAAGAGCUUGCUCUUACGGGUGGCGAGUGGCGGACGGGUGAGGAAUACAUCGGAAUCUACUUUUUCGUGGGGGAUAACGUAGGGAAACUUACGUUAAUACCGCAUACGACCUACGGGUGAAAGCAGGGGAUCUUCGGACCUUGCGCGAUUGAAUGAGCCGAUGUCGGAUUAGCUAGUUGGCGGGGUAAAGGCCCACCAAGGCGACGAUCCGUAGCUGGUCUGAGAGGAUGUUCAGCCACACUGGAACUGAGACACGGUCCAGACUCCUACGGGAGGCAGCAGUGGGGAAUAUUGGACAAUGGGCGCAAGCCUGAUCCAGCCAUACCGCGUGGGUGAAGAAGGCCUUCGGGUUGUAAAGCCCUUUUGUUGGGAAAGAAAAGCAGCAGGUUAAUACCCCGCUGUUCUGACGGUACCCAAAGAAUAAGCACCGGCUAACUUCGUG
rnacentral:rRNA from 1 species